rnacentral:snoRNA from 1 species
CACCUCUCAGGGUCACACCUGGAGAGUUUCCAGAACUUUACCAGUCUCAAGAAUGGGAGGGAGAGUCAAGCAGAGGCCUAUCCAUUCCAUUCCUAGCUUGGCCAGUGGCUAGCGAGUGGAAGGCAAUCUGCUACAAGU